GUGCUUGCUUUGACAGCAUGUAUACUAAAAUUGGAACAGUGCAGAGAAGCAUAGCAUGCCCCCUGUGCAAGGAUGACACACAGAUUCGUGAAAUGUUCCAUAUUUUU
rnacentral:snRNA from 1 species